CGCUGGCGGCGUGCCUAAUACAUGCAAGUCGAGCGAACAGACGAGGAGCUUGCUCCUCUGACGUUAGCGGCGGACGGGUGAGUAACACGUGGAUAACCUACCUAUAAGACUGGGAUAACUUCGGGAAACCGGAGCUAAUACCGGAUAAUAUAUUGAACCGCAUGGUUCAAUAGUGAAAGACGGUUUUGCUGUCACUUAUAGAUGGAUCCGCGCCGCAUUAGCUAGUUGGUAAGGUAACGGCUUACCAAGGCAACGAUGCGUAGCCGACCUGAGAGGGUGAUCGGCCACACUGGAACUGAGACACGGUCCAGACUCCUACGGGAGGCAGCAGUAGGGAAUCUUCCGCAAUGGGCGAAAGCCUGACGGAGCAACGCCGCGUGAGUGAUGAAGGUCUUCGGAUCGUAAAACUCUGUUAUUAGGGAAGAACAAAUGUGUAAGUAACUAUGCACGUCUUGACGGUACCUAAUCAGAAAGCCACGGCUAACUACGUGCCAGCAGCCGCGGUAAUACGUAGGUGGCAAGCGUUAUCCGGAAUUAUUGGGCGUAAAGCGCGCGUAGGCGGUUUUUUAAGUCUGAUGUGAAAGCCCACGGCUCAACCGUGGAGGGUCAUUGGAAACUGGAAAACUUGAGUGCAGAAGAGGAAAGUGGAAUUCCAUGUGUAGCGGUGAAAUGCGCAG
rnacentral:rRNA from 1 species